rnacentral:rRNA from 3 species
ACGGGUGAGUAAUGCCUAGGAAUCUGCCUGGUAGUGGGGGAUAACGCUCGGAAACGGACGCUAAUACCGCAUACGUCCUACGGGAGAAAGCAGGGGACCUUCGGGCCUUGCGCUAUCAGAUGAGCCUAGGUCGGAUUAGCUAGUUGGUGAGGUAAUGGCUCACCAAGGCGACGAUCCGUAACUGGUCUGAGAGGAUGAUCAGUCACACUGGAACUGAGACACGGUCCAGACUCCUACGGGAGGCAGCAGUGGGGAAUAUUGGACAAUGGGCGAAAGCCUGAUCCAGCCAUGCCGCGUGUGUGAAGAAGGUCUUCGGAUUGUAAAGCACUUUAAGUUGGGAGGAAGGGCAGUAACCUAAUACGUUAUUGUUUUGACGUUACCGACAGAAUAAGCACCGGCUAACUCUGUGCCAGCAGCCGCGGUAAUACAGAGGGUGCAAGCGUUAAUCGGUAUUACUGGGCGUAAAGCGCGCGUAGGUGGUUUGUUAAGUUGAAUGUGAAAUCCCCGGGCUCAACCUGGGAACUGCAUCCAAAACUGGCAAGCUAGAGUAGGGCAGAGGGUGGUGGAAUUUCCUGUGUAGCGGUG